rnacentral:rRNA from 1 species
UGCGGAAGGAUCAUUAAUGGCUA